rnacentral:tRNA from 1 species
AGCUCCGCUGCAAGACUGGCCUCGGCUUGCGUCGCGGUCUCGACCUGCGCCGCGAGGCUCGCCCUGGCAUCGAGCGUUUUGUUCGCAGCAGAUGCGGGCAUG